rnacentral:rRNA from 1 species
AUUGAACGCUGGCGGCAUGCCUUACACAUGCAAGUCGAACGGCAGCACGGGAGCAAUCCUGGUGGCGAGUGGCGAACGGGUGAGUAAAGUAUCGGAACGUGCCCAGUCGUGGGGGAUAACGUAGCGAAAGUUACGCUAAUACCGCAUACGAUCUAUGGAUGAAAGCGGGGGAUCGCAAGACCUCGCGCGAUUGGAGCGGCCGAUAUCAGAUUAGGUAGUUGGUGGGGUAAAGGCGCACCAAGCCGACGAUCUGUAGCUGGUCUGAGAGGACGAGCAGCCACACUGGGACUGCGCCACGGCCCAGACUCCUACGCGAGGCAGCAGUGUGGGAGUUUGGACAAUGGGCGCAAGCCGGAUUCAGCCAUGCCGCGUGAAGGAUGAAGGCCUUCGGGUUGUAAACUGUUUUUGUACGGAGCGAAAAGGUUUGACUUUAUACGUUGGACUCAUGACGGUACCGUAAGAAUAAGCACCGGCUAACUGCGUGCCAGCCGCCGCCGUAA